rnacentral:antisense_RNA from 1 species
GAGAAGAGCUGCACUGGUUCAUAACUUUUCAGUUCCUGGUUCCAGUUCAUAAUGAGGUUCAACCGGACUUCCUAUCCUUAGGGUCUGAUGGAAGGCUUUCUCAUUUCACAGCUGACAGCACUGGAGACAGAGCAGAAUCACAGAAGAAGAAAAUAAUGAGACCCUCAACUGGCUCUGAGAAAGCAAGCUAUCAUCUUGUGAAAUGCCCUGUGGAAAAGCCCAUGUAGCAAAGGACAGCCAAUAGCCACAGAAAGCUGAUGCCCUCAGUCCAACAGCCUGCAAGAAACUGAAUUCUGCCAGCAACCAUGUGAGAUUGGAAGCAGAUUCUUCCAUGCAGUCUUGUGAGAGAUUAUGAAGCAAAGGACUCAAGUUGUGCCCAGAUUCCUGACCCACAGAUACUGUGUGAUAAUAAAUGCAUAUUGUCUUAAG